rnacentral:lncRNA from 1 species
AGCACACAUUCUCACAUAAAAUAAUUUUACAUGUAAAAUUUUCCCUAUUUUACAUUUCCCAAAAAAUCAUUAUUCCAAAACACAUUUACACCCAAAAGGGGCUCAAACCUAGUCUGAAAAUUUUACUUGCCACACUAGGCAGAAAUGAUGAUAUGUUUAUUUCGCCAAAAACAAUAUGCAAAGCGCACAAUUUUCUUUUACUUGCCACACUAUAAUCUCUUCCGUAACAGAGGCCCUUUCACAACAGCCUUCAUAUUUUGUGAAUCUUUGAAGCGUAUAAAAUGCACAAUUGUCUUGCCAUUGAGAUAAAUAGCGAUGACGCUAUCUUUUUGUUACAAAGAGAGUACAUGCUAUUGCUGGUGAUCUUCACGGUGUUCUUCCUUUGUUUACAGAGUUCAUCUUUUACCUGUUAUACACCAUCGGCCACUAAAUGAAAACACUGUUGCAGGAAAACCAGAACAAAGUAAAUGCAGAUUAUGUUCUGAAAAGAAUGAACAUUUAAG